AGCGAACGCUGGCGGCAGGCCUAACACAUGCAAGUCGAACGAACCCUUCGGGGUUAGUGGCGGACGGGUGAGGAACACGUGGGAACGUGCCUUUAGGUUCGGAAUAACUCAGGGAAACUUGUGCUAAUACCGAAUGUGCCCUUCGGGGGAAAGAUUAGUCGCCCUUAGAGCGGCACGCGUCCGAUUAGCUAGUUGGUUGAGGUAAUGGCUCACCAAGGCGACGAUCAGUAGCUGGUCUGAGAGGAUGAGCAGCCACAUUGGGACUGAGACACGGCCCAGACUCCUACGGGAGGCAGCAGUGGGGAAUCUUGCGCAAUGGGCGAAAGCCUGACGCAGCCAUGCCGCGUGAAUGAUGAAGGUCUUAGGAUAGUAAAAUUCUUUAACCGGGGACGAUAAUGACGGUACCCGGAGAAGAAGCCCCGGCUAACUUCGUG
rnacentral:rRNA from 1 species